rnacentral:lncRNA from 1 species
UAGUUGUGAAGAUACGCUUGAAUGUCAUGAUUAAAGUGCAAGUAAACAUCUAGCAAGAGGUCGUAUUUAGAAGUUGGGAAAGUACAAAGUGUAAGUGUACAUUUAGAUCCUUGACUUAUGUCAGUCCCCGGCAUGUAUCCAUCAAAAGACUUAGUUGCCAACUCAAUUAUAGUUUCAGUAUCCAGCACUCAGUGAUCAGUGUUCAGUCCUUGAAUUUAGUACUUCUGUACUAGCUAUAGGCUUAGUUAUACUGUCAUCUUCAAUUCAGUAACCAG